UCGAAAGAGGGCUCUAGUGAUCCGGUAGUCCCGUGUGGAAGGGCUAUCGCUCAACGGAUAAAAGGUACGCCGGGGAUAACAGGCUAAUCAUUCUCUAGAGACCUUAUCGACGGAAUGGUUUGGCACCUCGAUGUUGGAUUAUCGCAUCCUGGAAUUGUAAAUGAUUCCAAGGGUUUGGCUGUUCGCCAAGGAAGGCGGUACAUGAUCUGAGUUUAGAACGUCGUGAGACAGUUUGG
rnacentral:rRNA from 1 species